rnacentral:rRNA from 1 species
AGGAUGAACGCUGGCGGUAUGCUUAACACAUGCAAGUCGAACAGAGAUAAAAAAAUUUAUUUUUUUUAUUUUAGUGGCGGACGGGUGAGUAACGCGUAAGAAUCUACCUUUAGGAGGGGGAUAUGAAUUUUUUUCUAAUACCCCAUAUGCUGAGGAGUGAAAUAAAUUUUGCCUAGAGAUGAGCUUGCGUCUGAUUAGCUUGUUGGUAAGGUAACUGCUUACCAAAGCGAUGAUCAGUAGCUGGUUUGAGAGAAUGAUCAGCCACACUGGGACUGAGACACGGCCCAGACUCCAUUUGGAGGCAGCAGUGAGGAAUCUUCCGCAAUGGGCGAAAGCCUGACGGAGCAAUACCGCGUGGAGGAAGAAAGCCUAUGGGUUGUAAACUCCUUUCUCGGAGAAGAAUACUGACGGUAUCCGAGGAAUAAGCAUCGGACAAAAUCUGUGCCAGCAGCCGAC